rnacentral:lncRNA from 10 species
AUGGGGAUAAAGAUCACGGAAGAGGAAUUCAUGGAUCUAACAGAAAGACUACCAGAUGACUCUGAAAAGAAAGUCAAACUAAAUAAGUUGAUUAAAGAAUUGAGUGCUGUUUUAGGAAAACAGGUAGAUGUCUGUGACCUAGAAGAUGCACUAAAAGACAUGGAAAUAGAGGUCCCAUAUGAGGACUACUUGCAUUUAGUAAAAACUUUGCCGCUUGAUGCUGAAGGAAAGGUGUAUCAAAAAAGGUUGCUGGAUGGUAUAAAGACUGUUAAAAGAGGAAAAGUUGAUAUAAAUGACCUGGAUAAAUUUCUGGAAAAUAUGGGGAUUGAGCUCUCAGAAAAAGAACUUGAAGAUUUUUCAAAAGACCUACCAGUUGAUGUUGAUGAGAAGGUUGAUCUGAAAAACAUGAUGCUGAGAAUAAAAGAUUUUACAGGAGAAAAGGUUGAUGCCAGAGAUCUGAAAAAUGUUCUUGGAGACAUGGGGAUAGAAGUCAAUGAUAAGGACUGCGUGGAACUGCUAAAAUUACUACCAGUUGAUGGAGGAAAGGUUGAUAUCGGUAACCUGAAGACGAUUCUUGGGAACAUGGGGAUCAAGCUCAAAAAUAAGGAACUUCAAAGUGUGAUACAAAAUCAACCUGUUGAUGCUAAUGGAAAUGUUCCUCUGAAAAAGGUGAUGGAUGAUGUGAAAGCAAUUAUAGGAGAAAAACUUAACGUGGAAAAUCUAAAAAAUAUUCUCGAAGGCCUUGGAAUAGAAUUCACACCUAAAGAAUACUUGGAACUGGUACAAAAUCUGCAAAUUGAUGGUGAGCACUUCAAAUACUACUGGACCUUUUGAAGAAGUUUAGCCCUAUGUACUUAAGACAACCUAACAAAAAAAAAAGAAAAAAGAUACCUAUUAGAUAUUCUAGUUUAAAAAAUAAAAAUGGCGGCAGGGCGCGGUGGCUCACGCCAGUAAUCCCAGCACUUUGGGAGGCCGAGGCGGGCAGAUCACGAGGUCAGGAGAUCGGGACCAACCUGGCUAACACGGUGAAACACCGUCUGUACUAAAAAUACAAAAAACUAGCCGGGCAUGGUAGCACACGCCUGUAGUCCUAGCUACUCGGAAGGCUGAGGCAGGAGAAUGGCGUGAACCUGGGAGGCGGAGCUUGCAGUGAACGGAGAUGCGCCACUGCACUCCAGUCUGGGCGACAGAGCGAGACUCUGUCUCAAAAAAAUAAUAAUAAUAAAAUAAAUAAAUAAAAAUGACAGUGUAAGAAAUUUUAGCAUGACCUUGUUCUUCCUUUGAGAAGUUCUUUCUUUGAGA